rnacentral:rRNA from 1 species
CGCGUAGGCGGCCUUCUAAGUCAGACGUGAAAUCCCCCGGCUUAACCUGGGAACUGCGUCUGAUACUGGGAGGCUUGAGUAUGGGAGAGGGAUGUAGAAUUCCAGGUGUAGCGGUGAAAUGCGUAGAUAUCUGGAGGAAUACCGGUGGCGAAGGCGGCAUCCUGGACCAUAACUGACGCUGAGGCGCGAAAGCUAGGGGAGCAAACG